GCGCCGGUAGCUCAACUGGAUAGAGCGUUAGACUACGGAUCUAAAGGUUACGAGUUCAAAUCUUGUCCGGCGCGCCA
rnacentral:tRNA from 1 species